rnacentral:ncRNA from 1 species
CGGACACUGUAAGGAUUGACAGGUUGAGAGCUCUUUCUUGAUUCGGCGGGUGAUGGUGCAUGGUUGUUCUUUGUUGGUGGAGCGAUUUGUCUGGUUAAUUCCGAUAACGAACGAGACUCUAGCCUAGUAUUUUGGCCGUGUGUGUAUAUAUCCCCAGUAACGUCUUAACUUCAUGUAAAUGCACCAGGGUGCCAACGACGGUGUGUACGCUCGGUACGGCGACGGAUGAGUCACGUUGAAAGUCACAAACGCCCGCCGGGCAGACGCGUCGCCGCCUCACCGUCGAAGAAUGCGCAGACUGGCGUCACGUUGUGUCACCGACCAGGCUCAACCUCCGGUUGAGUCAAACACGCCACCUCUUAAUCACCCUCAGAACAAGCGGAGUAAUUAGAGGCAGAAGUACAUUUUUUACCCCUUCACAU